rnacentral:lncRNA from 1 species
AAGGCUCCUUUAUUCAGGCCGAUCAAAGAUCGUUUUUAAUUUAAAGCCAAUCUAAGGCUCCUUCAUUCGAUUGAUCAAAGGUCAUUUUUUAUUUAAAGCUGAUCAAAGACUCCUUCACUCGAGCUGAUCAAAGAUCAUUUUUAAUUUAAAACCUUUCAAAGGCUCCUUCAUUCAGACCGAUCAAAAGUCAUUUUUAAUUUAAAGCCGAUCAAAGGCU